UUCUGGUUAGUUUAGUGGCUAUGACGGCGCCUUGUCAGUCAUUUCUGAACGCGCUCGGCGCAGACCCGGGUUCAAUUCCCGGACCGGAAG